rnacentral:rRNA from 1 species
AAAUUGAAGAGUUUGAUCAUGGCUCAGAUUGAACGCUGGCGGCAGGCCUAACACAUGCAAGUCGAGCGGAAACGAGUUAUCAGAACCUUCGGGGGACGAUAACGGCGUCGAGCGGCGGACGGGUGAGUAAUGCCUAGGAAAUUGCCCUGAUGUGGGGGAUAACCAUUGGAAACGAUGGCUAAUACCGCAUAAUGCCUACGGGCCAAAGAGGGGGACCUUCGG